UUGGCACAAAGUAGUUAGUGAGGAUUGGGUCAGAGUAAAGAUGACCUUUUUAGUAAUAGUGAUAGACAUUGGUAAGAAAUAGUAAAUAAGAAAUACGUAGUAAUUAGUAUAAAAGAUAAGGACAGCCCAGCUCGGGGGGAGACGUGAGGAAUCCAUGCAGCUGCGAACAUCUUGUCGGACUCCAAGAAAAUUGUAAGAUAAGAAACAAUAAACGAAGAAUGCAACCUUGAAAAAUCUAAACCUGAGAACUCCGUCUCUUCCUUCGGCUCGGCUCGGAGCUGUGCAGGGGAGCAAGGACCCUGAAACCACCUCAAUGUUGGGGUAAGCCCCCGACAAGAUCUUUACUUUUCCAGGAAAUUUUUAGACUGAACUAUUUAAAUAAUAUGGUCUAAAGCAUCUCUAGAUGGAAUUCUUAAUUUUAUUUUGGAGGCUGUUCCGGUUCACACUCAGCCGAACCAAGAUGAUAAAUCCUGUUGCAAACGCGUGUGAUGUUUCUAAUGUGGGUAAGAAGAUGUGUCUGCAGAUUGAUUUCGAGGAAGGGCUGUUUCAAAUCCUUGCAAACGAGGAGAAAGAAGACAGCUUUCUUGUAACAAUGUUUUGCUUUUGUUUUCAGUCUCGCAGCAAUUGGAUGCAGAACCGGUAUCGUCUCUCUGUUGCUUUGCUGCCAAGGUCAGCUCUGCAAGCGAGCUUCAUAUUUUACACGUGGCUGUUCCAUGCUUCAGCUAUCUCUCCGGUGUAUUAAAAACAAUCCUCCACUGCCCGUUCUCCACCGCUGCUGGCCUCAGCAGGAGCUGAAGAUCUGCCUGGGACACGUUAGCCUAGGAAGCUGAUAAGGAGGAACUCUUACAGAUCCCAAAGUGGCCAUGAGACUCCCAGCUGCACAGGGAAGUGUGUAAGCAAUCAGGAAAACUUUCUGACACUGACCAGGACUCUGCUGCAGAGGUGUUGCUCUCCUUCUGAACUCCCUGUUGAAAGAUGCCCAAAAAGCACUUAAAGAAGUUGGAAAAGAAAUCCCCCAUCCAGACUGAGGAGGAGGAGGGAUAUUCCAGACAUCCGAAGUUCAUUUUUCUCACCUCCACCAAAAAAAUGGAAAUACAACCCCCAAGUUUUAAGUGCAAGGAAAAAUCAGUCGCAAUCCCUCAACACUCUCUUCAGAUCCCAGAAAUCUACAAGCACUGUGGAUUUACUAAUCUUUGAAAUGAGCUCCUGCUAGAUCAGCUGCACCAGCCACAAGCAUCGCCUGAUCGAGACCAUUCAACCCCCCUUUUUUAAAUUCAACAGCAGUCCGGGUGCUCUUUGGAGUGGUGAAUUCUGCUGGCUGACACCACUCCAAAGGAAGAAGAAAUUCUCUUGGCCAAGUACUUGCUUAUUCUUUUAACACAGGCUCGUGGAAAGGGGAAGGACUGACAUUGUUUUUGUCACAGUUUUGCCUGAUUUGGUAGGAUACAGAGACUUCCCUCAGCACAGAGCCCUGGCUGUGCUAGGCACGGGAUACCUCUGUGUGUCUGAGGACAAGUCCCAGCCUUGAAAAUCUCACCCUUAUUAAAAGUGAAUCCACAGAAGAUGUGGGAAAAUCUUUCUGUAAGCAAAACGGGGUGGCUGUCAUUGUGUGUAAGCUCAAUUUCUUCCUUCAGCUCAUUGAAAAGCACCCGUGGCAGGGGUCAGGAGGGGAGGGCAGCUCAGGUUUCUCCAGCUUUCCGUGGUGCUUGGGUGCAGAGGCGCCGACGGAGCAGGACGCAGGAGACCACUUGCGUCACCUGCAGUGUGGCGUGAUGGCUUUUCCCCACGCUGUACCCCUUCCUCUCAUCACCCCUUGUGUGUAGGGUCAUGGAGGGAAGGAGAGGUGCUGCUGCUCCCUGGAUUCAUAGGGGAAUGGAGGGGAGCUGAGCUCUUCAAGUCUCACAUGCACAGUGUGCCAGCGAUGGGCAUAUCGAGGGUAGGGGCUGUCUGUCUUGAAGAACACACCUCUGAUUUUUGGGGGCAGCAAAUGGCUGGCUUCUUACUGCCCCCAGAGAGGACUGAAAUUAUUUGGGCCCAUCACUGUGUCAGUGAGUGCAUUGAGUGCAUUUACAAAAGAGUAGGAAAAGUUUUGUGGCAUCACGAUAUAAAGGAAAGGAAGAACAUGAAGGACUCACGGAGAGAGUUUUACGUGCAAAAUCUUGUUGUUGGCGAAGGAGGAACACGCAAGCCAAGGAUUUUUUUAGUCUAAUUAAAAUCCUAACGUGUUAACUAAUAUACAACACACAGUUAAUUAGUAUGGUGACAGUACACAAAUAUUCACACUGCAAAUUAUCUAAUUAAUAUAAAAUAAGCUCUGUCUGGCUCAUUCACCAGGGUGAAUGGUUUAUCACCCUGAAAUCUUUGAUGUCAUUCUGUGUCUGUACUUUACUGGACUGCAUCUCAUGUCCCCACUCUGAAGGCUACUGCUGUCCUCCUGCAUCAUUAUACCAGGGCUAUAAAUACGUCAGAAUACACAGACCAUCAGCUUGUUGCUGCUAUUUGUACAAAAAUUAUUAUGCCAUAUGGCUGUAACAUAUGAUUCUGCCCUGUGAUUUUGCUCAGCUCUAGAACUAAGGGAAAAUUAAGUUCAGCUAUAGAAGCUGAUGGUAGGAUAGCCCUUCAAGCAUAGUGCCCUCAAAGACCUCUCAUUCAUCUGAUGCCUUGGGAAGGCUGAGCUGGAACAGAGACUGGACAGAGCUGGACAAUAAAGCAGGGAUUUAUUAAAAGGGCUUUAGGAUACACCUUGGGCAGGACAAGAGCCUGAUCAGGGCUACACCCAAGGUGGACCCAAAAUGGUCACAAAAUGGACAAAGGGUCACGAGGUCUCACACUUUGAUCAGUUUUGGUCCAUUUGCAUCUGGGGUUUAAUUGUCCAAUUCCAGCUCCAGGCUGUGAGCUCCCAUCCUUCUUGUUCCUCCCUCCAGCCACCCUUGUUUGUGCUUUUGGGCUGAAAGUUGUCCUUGGUGUGCAGCAGGAAAAGGAUUUGUUUUGUGUCGCUGCUGUGUGAAGGGAGCUCACCAGCACUUAAUAUGAGGCUCUGAACUGUACCUAAGCAGCACAGAAUCUGAAAACAUGAAAGCUAAAACUUAAAACAUAACAUCCAGCUCUGGCAAAAGGCAGUGACCUCCAGAGAGGAGUUUUCCCAAGUACUUUUUCCAUGCCCCAGCCAUUCCUGUUCAAGAAAGCAGAAGGCGUGCUGUGGUAGGCAACUUCUUGCCUCAGAAUAUCUGAGCAAAUAGUUGCAACCACCUCAGUACAAAAUCCAUCACUGGCCAACUAGUGAUCAUAACAGCCAUAGAGUUUAAUCUCCCUUUUAAUUGUCGUUGGCUGUUUCUUACUUGUAACAAGCUCAGGGAAGGCCCUCUUUGAUUUGUUAUUAUGUGUGUUUCAAAUGCUGAUAAUAUCACCACGGGGACUGGGGUGCCUUAAGGCAAGAUCAAGGAAUGCAGCUGUAGACCUGCCACAUCUGUCAUAGACUGAAGCAAUUAUGAAAUUGGACAGUGCAUAUUUUUAUCUGAAAACUGGAUGGAGAUUAAUCUAUCUCACGGGCACCUUCUGCAGGAAAGAAAAAACUUGUUGAGUCUGAUUGAGUUUGCGAGGCAAUUCUGAGGUCUGUGGCAAGGACUAUGUGACCAAAAAAUUGAUAUCGGCAUUAUUAAUUAUCUCCCUCAGCUAAUGAAAUAAUUAUUCAAUCAGAACUAAACAAGUAUAUGCAAAUGCAGAAUCUCAGGUGACCAGCAUAUUCUUUAAUCAAUUUGGACAGUUUAACAGGACCCUUCUGUCUUUAAAAACAGGAACCAAGACAAUUUAAAAAAUUAAAAAAAAAAAGUUCAGCACAAUUAAAGAAAAAAAAAAGUUCAGCACAGUUCACAAAGUACUUCUGUUCAACCUAAUGAUUUUAUUAUUGUGGUAAUAAUAUUUGAUAUGUUUCUCAGAAGCUUAACUUCAUCUUGUGCAAGCCUCAAAUCCUUGUCAUUUGCCACAAGAAGAAAUCAUCCCCCUCUGCUAGGAAACGUGAAAUCUAUGAACUUCAAAUCCAAAUAAAAAUGUCAGUGUCUUUUUUAUCAACACCUCGUGAUUAUUAAAGAAAUGUAUUGAUUUUAAAUGCUCAAGAACUCUGAAGGCUUUGGGAUGAGCCACAUGGUUAAGAUUUCUCCCCAUCCAACACAGAAGUAGAGUUCAAAACCCUAGAAGAGAAAUGAAAAAUCAGAAACUACCAUAAAUUCUGGCAAAACAAAUGAUUUUGUUUCUAGUAGUUGCAUAUCUAUUUUUUGUGCCUGCCCUCUUUCUUUUCUUAUUAAUAUGAUACAAGGGAAAAGAGGUUCAAUGCCCUAUGUCUCUAUCAAUAAACAUCCAAUUGUCAUAAAACAUGCCUGUCAUGCUUCCCUAUGAAAAGCAGAGCAUGGAUAUAAAACGACUGAUUGUCUAUGUCUUGCUUCUUUUUUGUCUCUGUAAGAUAGGAACAUGGAAGCAUCAAAACGUGUAAGAACAUUUGCUUUGUAACCUGCAAUUUAUCUGCUUGAAUUCGAUUAGAGCCUCCUUCAUCAAACACAGUGUAGCUCUUGAGACCUGACAGAUCAGACUCUGGCAAUCACAAAUGUGCUGAGUUUUGCCCAAAUUGUGGCAAAGGUUUCUUGCACCUCGGGUUUCUUUCAGGAGAGAGUCUUUGACUUCCAAAUCCAAGUGUCAGCCAAUCAGCUCUCAGUACAGAGAUUAAGUAAUGAGCAAAUUAAGGGUUUGGGGCUGAUUCUGUUCCUUCUGAAAGAAAUGGCAGCACUCCCCAUGGCUCCAGAGGGAGAAAGGUCCUCUGCAUUGCUUCACUGGCUGAUUGCAAUCCACCCAGGAUGGUGCAGAGAGAACAGCCAGAUAAUUCACAACGUCACGGAGCCCUUGUCUUACUGCAAGGCUUUUUAUCAUCACACGCUCAGCAUCAGCCCUAGCCAUAAAUUACACGGUUUGUAACUGAUGCAUUAGGAGUCAGAACAGCUGGAUGGCAAGUUUUUAAUUCAUCAGUGGAGGCAGCUUCAGGCUGGGGAGUUUUGUGCUCAGGAUGGAGAGUUGGUUCAUUUACCUCAGUCAGCUCAGUCAAAUAAUCUCCCUCACGGCUGUAACAAUAAUUAGGCACGAGGAAUAAAAAUCUGUAAACCCCUGGCAGCUAGACUAAGGGACAAAUAUGGAAAGCGUAUAUUUACUGGUGUAAACUCCAAAUAAGAGAGACCAGAACACGCAGGAGAUGUAACUCCAUGUUCCCUGACUCGGGAAUGCAGGUACCAUAAAGACCAUGAGCAAACAGCUGAGUGCUUUUCUUCCCAUAACAACACCAAACUUUUCUGCUGCACAGAGCGAUCCCUCAUUAUAACUUGGGCAAAGUGAUUCAUGACAGCUCAGUGAGGCAGUUUUUAUCUGCCACAGCCGCUGGGAGCCUCCGUGGAGCUCCCUGCCACCUCACUCUCACCUGAUAUAUUCUCUGCCAUAUCCCCGAGCUCUUCUGAAGAGUCAUUUCUUGCUGGAAAUGAGACUUGUGGGAAUUCCUGGUGCUGCUUUGGCUCUGUACCCGGGAUAGAGCGUGUGAGUCAGCCAGGAGCAGUCCAGACAUUUUCCCUCUGGUUCAGAACUGAGUCUGGAGUUCAGUUGCUGUGAGGAUUUCAGACACACUGAGCUCCUCCUUCUUUUUCACAUUUGGAUUGUGGGCAGCUCUCUGCUCUGCUUUACUUUGUUUGCCUGAACCAACCUACCUUAGAAAGGUGAUUCAAGAAACUGCAAGUACUUUCUGUGAUAUCAUAUUAAUCAAUUAAUCACAAGCUUUUCAAUAAAAGAAUCACCUAAUGAGGAGAGAAGAAGUCUUUUAAUAAUCUUUUUAUAUUCCAUUUUUUUUUUUUUUUUUCUGGGCAGGGGAAUCAAACCCAAACACAUUAGAAAGUUUGUCCAAAGGUAAUUUUUUGGCUAGCAGAUGCCAGCUUCUUAAUUAAUGUAGAAGUGUAUAGAAUGUCCUGGACACGUUUAGGCCUCGCAAAUGUUGAGGUUAUUAUGGUAUUAAUAGAUUUGAUACUCAAAUAGUAAAUCUGAAUUUGGAAUAAUUAAUCACAUUCACUUAGUAUCUUCUAGAAAUCAUCUAAAUAUAUGUACACAUAUAUUUUUGACACAAAGGGUGGCAUAUUUAAGCAGGAUACUUUAAAACCAGACCCACGCAAAAGAAACUCCCAAUCAAACUACAAAUUACUUUGGGACUAGA